AACCUGCCCAAGAGAUCGGGAUAACACCUGGAAACAGAUGCUAAUACCGGAUAACAACAGAUGAUGCCUAUCAACUGUUUAAAAGAUGGUUCUGCUAUCACUCUUGGAUGGACCUGCGGUGCAUUAGCUAGUUGGUAGGGUAACGGCCUACCAAGGCGAUGAUGCAUAGCCGAGUUGAGAGACUGAUCGGCCACAUUGGGACUGAGACACGGCCCAAACUCCUACGGGAGCAGCAGGU
rnacentral:rRNA from 1 species